AGUGAACGCUGGCGGUAGGCCUAACACAUGCAAGUCGAACGGCAGCACAGUAAGAGCUUGCUCUUACGGGUGGCGAGUGGCGGACGGGUGAGGAAUACAUCGGAAUCUACUUUUUCGUGGGGGAUAACGUAGGGAAACUUACGCUAAUACCGCAUACGACCUACGGGUGAAAGCAGGGGAUCUUCGGACCUUGCGCGAUUGAAUGAGACGAUGUCGGAUUAGCUAGUUGGCGGGGUAAAGGCCCACCAAGGCGACGAUCCGUAGCUGGUCUGAGAGGAGGGAUAGCCAGACGGGAAGUGAGACAGAGUCCAGACUCCUACGGGAGGCAGCAGUGGGGAAUAUUGGACGAUGGGGGCAAGCCUGAUCCAGCCAUACCGCGUGGGUGAAGAAGGCGUUCGGGUGGGAAAGCCCUUUUGGUGGGAAAGAAAAGCAGCAGGUUAAUACCCCGCUGUUCUGACGGUACCCAAAGAAUAAGCACCGGCUAACUUCGUG
rnacentral:rRNA from 1 species